CAAUAGCGUAUAUUAAAGUUGUUGCGGUUAAAACGCUCGUAGUUUGAAAUCUGUUAAGGACGAUCUGUCUGCCCUCUGGGUGUGUAUUUGGUCUAGCCUUGGCAUUUCCUUGAACAAGACAACUGCACUUGAUUGUGUGGUGUUGAUUUCAAGGUGUUUACUUUGAGGAAAUCAGAGUGCUUCCAGCCGGUGUGCGCCUUGAAUACAUUAGCAUGGAAUAUCAUUAUAUGGUUUGGAUUUUUACUUGUUGGUUUUUAAAAUUGAAGCAAUGAUAAAUAGGGAUAAUUGGGGGCACUUGUAUUUAAUUGUCAGAGGUGAAAUUCUUGGAUUUGUGAAAGACAAACUACUGCGAAAGCAUUUGCCAAAAAUGUUUUCAUUG
rnacentral:rRNA from 1 species